UACGUAGGGUGCAAGCGUUGUCCGGAUUUAUUGGGCGUAAAGAGCUCGUAGGCGGUUUGUCGCGUCGGAUGUGAAAACCCAGGGCUCAACCCUGGGCCUGCAUUCGAUACGGGCAAACUAGAGUAUGGCAGGGGAGACUGGAAUUCCUGGUGUAGCGGUGAAAUGCGCAGAUAUCGGGAGGAACACCGGUGGCGAAGGCGGUUCUCUGGGCCUGUACUGACGCUGAGGAGCGAAAGCGUGGGGAGCGAACAGG
rnacentral:rRNA from 1 species